rnacentral:rRNA from 1 species
UACGAAGGGGGCUAGCGUUGUUCGGAAUCACUGGGCGUAAAGCGCACGUAGGCGGAUGUGCCAGUCAGGGGUGAAAUCCCGGAGCUCAACUUCGGAACUGCCUCUGAUACAGCACGUCUUGAGUCCGGAAGAGGUGGGUGGAAUUCCUAGUGUAGAGGUGAAAUUCGUAGAUAUUAGGAAGAACGCCGGUGGCGAAGGCGGCCCACUGGUCCGGUACUGACGCUGAGGUGCGAAAGCGUGGGGAGCAAACAGG